ACUUGGUUGUGAAUUCAAGAACAUUUGUACAAAAUUGCAUGAUUUUCAUCAAUUUCUUCAUUGGAUUUAAACAAUUAAAUUGGAAAAAAAGUACUAGUUUUUUUAACCGAAUCGAAAUAACUGAACGAUCAACUUGAUUCGGAUAAAAAAAAUUAAUCCGUCGAUCCACCACUAAAAUAUGAACAUGAAUAACUCAAAUAAAAAAAUUGAUAACUAAAAAAAAUGAUUGGAAGUUGGAUACAAUAAAAAUGAAUAACUCAAAUUCAAACCAAGAAUUGCUACAAACACCAUGAAAUUCAAUACAACAAUUGUUGCUGGCAUAAAAAAAAUCACAACCAAAAGAAUUCCCCCAAAUUCAAAAUCUAGGGCUCAAAACCUCAACACACCACCGAAAGCAAGCCGCCCUCGGCGGCGUCGCUCUCAUCCAAGAACAAAUCCUCCGUGCCCCUGACGGCGGCGUGGCCGCCGCACGCCACCAGCGCCACCACAUCCAGCGGCACGGCGAUUUUCCGCCGCAAUCGGCCGGAGCUGACUCCACAGGUAGCGCCGCGGCGGCCGGAGUAGACCGAAAUUUUGAGCUGCGGCC
rnacentral:lncRNA from 1 species